CGCAUCCAGGUGAGACUGGGAGAGCACAACGUCGAAGUUCUGGAGGGGAAUGAGCAGUUCAUCAAUGCAGCCAAGAUCAUCCGCCACCCCAAAUACAACAGUUGGACUCUGGACAAUGACAUCCUGCUGAUCAAGCUCUCCAUGCCUGCUGUCAUCAAUGCCCACAUUUCCUCAUCUCUGGCUAGGGCAACACUCUGAGCUCUGGUGCCAACUAUCCAGAUGAGCUGCAGUGCCUGGACACUCAUGUGCUGACCCAGGCUGACUGUGAAGCCUCCUACCCUGGAGAGAUUACCAACAACAUGUUCUGUGUGGGUUUCCUUGAGGGAGGCAAGGAUUCCUGCCAGGGUGACUCUGGUGGCCCUGUGGUCUGCAACGGACAGCUCCAAGGAGUUGUCUCCUGGGGCUAUGGCUGUGCCCAGAAGAACAGGCCUGGAGUCUACACCAAGGUCUACAACUAUGUGGACUGGAUUAAGGACACCAUAGCUGCCAACAGCUAA
rnacentral:lncRNA from 1 species